rnacentral:misc_RNA from 1 species
AAAUGGAGGAAGAAUUCUGACAAUCCGUCUACAAGGUGAUGUUAACCAGAAAGGAAGAUGCCUCGACAAAAUAUUAAGCAUCCAUCUUACUCGAAAAGAUAAAGAAACCUACGCCUAGAGAAAAGAAUUAUCAAUAAUUACAUGAAUAUUUACAAUUUGCAUUUACCUUUUUAGAAGAACGAUCUUACCCUCAGCAUCUUCAUGCACAAUGCUCAGUACAUCAUCAGGAGGAAUAUGCAACCAAACUUUAGGCUUCUUGAGUUGGUGUCCUAUUUGAGCCAAUUUAUCAGCAGCUCUAUUGCCUUCCCUAUAAACAUGAGUCACAAUGCAAUUGUCUAGUGCCGGUUGAUCAUGUUUAUAUCUCCAACAUGCCUUCGCAUUUCUGCACACUUCACCUCUCUUCCUUUCACUACAAUUUCCACAAAUGUUUUGGCAUCUCCUUCAAGCCACACAUUGCUCCAGCCAUUUUCUAACACCAACUCCGGGCCUCUUCGAAGCGCAGCCACUUCUGCUAUGGUGUUAGUAGUUCUGCCUAUGGAUUCUGCGUAACCCAGUAGGAAUUCUGCCUUGUGAUUCCUGAAGACUCCUCCAACGCUAGCUUUGCCUUCUCUGCCUUUGCAUGAACCAUCGAAAUUCAAUUUAGUCCAUCCUAUUUUAGGUUUCUCCCAUGCCACAGGUACAGGGUCGCUGUGCCAAUUCCUAAUCAAAAUACAAACUGGGUUUUGUGUUAUUCUUUGGAAUCUAAACAUGUUAGUGUUCAAUGGUAACAUUGUGUAGGUAUUUUUCUUGAAAACCAUUCAAAAGGUAGCUAUAGAAUGUAUGAAGAUAUGUACAGAAAACAGAAAAUUUG